AUUGAACGCUGGCGGCAGGCUUAACACAUGCAAGUCGAGCGGAGCGAGGGUGCUUGCACCUUAGCUUAGCGGCGGACGGGUGAGUAAUGCUUAGGAAUCUGCCUACUAGUGGGGGACAACAUUCCGAAAGGGAUGCUAAUACCGCAUACGCCCUACGGGGGAAAGCAGGGGAUCUUCGGACCUUGCGCUAAUAGAUGAGCCUAAGCCGGAUUAGCUAGUUGGUGGGGUAAAGGCCUACCAAGGCGACGAUCUGUAGCGGGUCUGAGAGGAUGAUCCGCCACACUGGGACUGAGACACGGCCCAGACUCCUACGGGAGGCAGCAGUGGGGAAUAUUGGACAAUGGGCGGAAGCCUGAUCCAGCCAUGCCGCGUGUGUGAAGAAGGCCUUUUGGUUGUAAAGCACUUUAAGCGGGGAGGAGGCUACUAGUAUUAAUACUACUGGAUAGUGGACGUUACUCGCAGAAUAAGCACCGGCUAACUCUGUGCCAGCCGCCGCCGUAA
rnacentral:rRNA from 1 species